AUUGAACGCUGGCGGCAUGGAUUAGGCAUGCAAGUCGAACGAUGAAAUCUAGCUUGCUAGAUGAAUUAGUGGCGAAAGGGUGAGUAACACGUGAGUAAUCUGCCUUCAACUCGGGGAUAGCCUUUGGAAACGAAGAUUAAUACCGGAUGUGAAGUUUAAAUCGCAUGAUUUUGACUUUAAAAAUUUUUGGUUGGAGAUGGGCUCGCGUCCCAUUAGCUAGUUGGUAAGGUAACGGCUUACCAAGGCAACGACGGGUAGGUGGUCUGAGAGGAUGGUCACCCACACUGGAACUGAGACACUGUCCAGACUCCUACGGGAGGCUGCAGUCGAGAAUCUUCGCAAUGGGCAAAGCCUGACGGAGCAAUGCCGCGUGAAUGAUGAAGGCCUUCGGGUUGUAAAAUUCUGUCACCUGGA
rnacentral:rRNA from 1 species